rnacentral:lncRNA from 1 species
UCGAUUAGUAGCAGUAAAAGAAUGAAACCAUUCUUAUUGGUUACAUGAUCACUCAGUUAAACUUUGAUCAUAUUGAGAACAAAGAAUCAUGGAGGCUAAACUUUGAUCAUAUUGAGAACAAAGAAACAUGGAGGCUAAAAUUUAUUAGAUAUGUGCAUUUGAGUGGGAUCAGAGAAAAGUAUAUGUGAGGAAAUGAUUCUAAGAAGUACCUACCUACACAGCAUAUCAUUUCUGUUAGUCAUGUUUAAUAUAAAAUUAAAUGUUUGUCGUUUGUAAUCCAUAGUGGAGUUCCUAGCAUAUCAUUUCUGUAAGACAUGUUUAAUAUAAAAUUAAAUGUUUGUCGUUUGUAAUCCAUAGUGAAGUUCCUAUCACAUGUUCAGUGCAUUCUCCUCCGAUACAAAAUCCCAAUUCCAUUCACCAACUAUGUUGCCAUGGAAGUUCUAUUUUAAAUUUAUUAUGCAAUUGUUGAUUAAGUAUGAUGGGUGAGUUGGAAUUUUUCUUGAAUAAGUACAGUUGUUUUAUCAU